rnacentral:rRNA from 1 species
AGUGAACGCUGGCGGUAGGCCUAACACAUGCAAGUCGAACGGCAGCACAGUAAGAGCUUGCUCUUACGGGUGGCGAGUGGCGGACGGGUGAGGAAUACAUCGGAAUCUACUUUUUCGUGGGGGAUAACGUAGGGAAACUUACGCUAAUACCGCAUACGACCUACGGGUGAAAGCAGGGGAUCUUCGGACCUUGCGCGAUUGAAUGAGCCGAUGUCGGAUUAGCUAGUUGGCGGGGUAAAGGCCCACCAAGGCGACGAUCCGUAGCUGGUCUGAGAGGAUGAACCGCCACACGGGAAGUGAGACACGGCCCAGACCCCUACGGGGGGGAGAGGGGGGGAAUGUGGGAAAAGGGGCGGAAGCCUGACCCAGCCAUGCCGGGGGGGUGAAGAAGGCCUUCGGGUUGUAAAGCCCUUUUGUUGGGAAAAAAAAGCAGCAGGUUAAAACCCCGCUUUUCUGACGGUACCCAAAAAAUAAGCACCGGCUAAUUUCGU